GGCAUCUCUGAUGAAAAACUAGGUCACAGGAGCUUAACAUAGAAAAUAUUGUUAACACUCUAGUGGCUGCAGUUUUGAUCCAAAUAUUCUGGAAAUUUGUCAGGAAGGUUGUUUUGAUGAUUUCUAAGUAAAGUUCGAAGAUGGGUCACCUGGGGUCAAAAGUUAGGUCACAUUGCCCAAAUACUGAAAAACCUUUUUUUUUACACACUAGAUGUCAAUUGUCAAACUUGGCCAGAAUGCUUGUCUAAGACAUUGCUUAGAUGUGGUUGAUGGGUCAGGGGAGUGAUCUAGGGCCAUCAUGGCCCUCUUGUUUUUUCACAAAGCAGCAGAAAACUCACAAUUUCGAAAGAGAUUUCACAAAAUAUUGGGACUUCCUCUUUGAAAUUCAUUGUUUACCUUCUGGUAAACUUGAUUUUCGCCAAUUGCAAACACGUAAAUAGUUUCAAUUAAUUCAAAGGGUAAAAGUACCAACUCGAACAGGUCAGAAAUUAUAAUCAAGUGUUCAUCAUAUCCAUUUAUGGCAUGUUUCUAUUAUUAUAACAAAAUUACCAAUAACUUAUGAGUCAAUGGCUAGAAAGGGGGACAUAUGUGUUGUUUAAAACAUCCGACAAACAAGUAAUCAAAUUGAUGUGGCCUAAGAAUCAGUUGCACUGCCAGUUUAUACAUAACCACAUGUCUGUAAAAAAGGUUUAUCGCAUGUAGGAGACAUUGUAGAGUGUAUACACACAAUAGAUUUAUUUACCUGUCAGUGUGCUGGAAGCUUCUGAGGUUAACACAAGGUCUACUUUAUAAAAGUGUUAAUAUAAUCUAAGUGCAUUUAUUCUAGAAGUGUUAAUAUAAUCUGAAUGCAUUAUUUAUCUUAGAAAAUUUGUGAAAGCUGAAGUUUGAGUAACUUCUCCACUAUAGAACAGAAACAUCUUGAUCAUUAUGGCUUACAGUGACAAGAGACAAGAAUAUGACUAUCAUCUCAAGACAGAUGGUGUAAAUGAUGAAUACUCGGUGUCAUCAAAUGAUGAUGAGAACGAGGAACGAGGAAAUUGGUCAAGGAAAAUGGACUUUGUUCUUUCCUGUCUAAGCUAUGCAGUUGGAUUAGGAAAUGUGUGGAGGUUCCCAUAUGUAUGCUACAGAAAUGGAGCAGGUAAUUUUAGAAAGGAUUUGACAAUUGAAAGGAUUUGACAAUUCAGUGUUCCCACUAGAAUUUAAAUUUGAGGGUACAUGUACCCCCUAGGUGAUAUUUUUGGGGGUACACUUCACAGAAUAUUUAGGGGGUACAAACUAUAAAGACAAGCAAGUCAGUUAAACACAUAUCAAUAUUUUUAUUGAGACAUCUUUUCUACAGCUUUCUGAAUAACUUCAUUAGAUUCAAAUCCUUGCUGAUUGGCAGAAAAGUGGAUCAUCAUUCUAUUUUGUACAUUUUCAACAGUCCUCCUACUGCUGUACCUUGAAAUGUGUCUGUUUUGUGAUGAGAAUCCCCUU